ensembl:lncRNA
UCUGGGUGUGUGUUCCCAGGAGAGUACCAUCCCCCCCCUAGCCCCCCCACACCCAGGGAAAGAGCCGAGGCGGUGCCAGCCAGACGGAGCUCAGAUGGGAAACAGAGGGCAGGAAAGAGUCAGUGCCCACAGCCCCCCCUGGACUCAGAUAUAGAGUAAGUUACAGAGCCCCCCUCCUGGACUCAGAUAUAGAGUAAUGUUACACCCCCUGGCUCAGAUAUAGAGGUAAUAUACAGACCCUGGACUCAGAUAUAGAGGUAAUGUUACAGACCCGGGACUCAGAUAUAGAGGUAAUGUUACAGCCCCGCUGGACUCAGAUAGAGAGUAAUGUUAAAUGUUCCGCCCUCCCCCCCUGGACUCAGAUGUAGAGGUAACGUUACAGCCCCUGGACUCAGAUAUAGAGGUAUAGUUACAGCCCCGGACUCAGAUAUAGAGGGAAGUACAGCCCCUGGACUCAGAUAGAGAGGUAAUGUUACAGCCCCCUGGACUCAGAUAUAGAGGUAAGUUACAGCCCCCCCUGGACUCAGAUAUAGAGGUAAUGUUACAGCACCCGGACUCAGAUAUAGAGUGAAGUUUACAACAGCCCCCUGGACUCAGAUAAAGGUAAGUGUACAGCCCCUGGAUUCAGAUAUAGAGGUAAUGUUACAGCCCCCUGGACUCAGAUAUAGAGAUAAUUUACAGUACCCCUCCCCGGACUCAUAUAGAGGUAAUGUUUCUUCCCCCUUCGGACUCAGAUUAGAGGUAAUGUUACAGCCCCCCUGGACUCAGAUAUAGAGGUAAAGUACAGCCCCCGUGACUCAGAUAUAGAGGUAAUGUUACGAAGCCCCCUUGACUCAGAUAUAGAGGUACUGUACAGCCCCCUGGACUCAGAUAUAGAGCGUGUGUUUGUGUGGGACCUAGACGAGACCAUCAUCAUUUUCCACUCUUUGCUCACAGGGAGCUUCUCCACCCGAUUUGGCAAGGUACAAAACAGUCAACAUACAUUCAUGUGACAUGGUGAAUAUUCUCUCUGUAUCACUUUUUAGAUGAAAUAACCCUGAAAGUAUUUGCUGGUUUAUUGAACUAAUCCUUGAUGAGAUAAACUAUGCACUUUCAGUUCGAGGUGAAUUCUAACUUCCAGUGAAAUGUUGUCUUAGUCACACAUUGAUGUCAAUGGUACUAAGCGGAAAUUCUGCUCAUGUGGAAGUUAGGAUUCAUUUGUUGAAACGUAACUCUUUUAGUAGUGUUGUUGUCCUUUGCUCUCUCCUUGACUUUUCACACGCUUGGUGUUUUCCUUCUCUACCCUGUUGUCUCUUUAUAUAACCCAGUGAACUUGUUUGGCCAACCCACGUCCCACUGUUUGAUUGACAGCGGAUUCACUUUUACAUAAUGGACAGGCAGCUGAUGACGGGAACAAUAGUAAUGUUUCUUUUGGCCGUGACUGUGUUUUGAAUUCUCACUGUCCCUCUGUGGUUUGCCGUGAUGUAAACAAGGAGCCAGGGAGUGAUUAGUGAGAAGAAAAUAGAGUAGUGAGAGGAAGAGAGAGUAUUGAGAGGAGAAGAAAGUGGAGGAGGGAGGAGAGAGGUGGAGAGAGUAGUGAGAGGAGAAGAGAGUAGUGAGAGGAGGAGAGGAGAGAGAGGAGUGAGAGGAGAAGAGAGUAGUAAGAAGAGAGAGAGGAGGAGAGCGGUGGAGAGAAUAGUGAGAGGAGGAGAGCGUAGUGAGAGGAGGAGAGGAGGAGAGCGUAGUGAGAGGAGAAGAGAGAGAGGAUGAGAGUAGUGAGAGGAGGAGAGAGAGGAGAGAGUAGUGAGAGGAGAAGAAAGGAGGAAAGGACAAGAGAGUAGUGAGAGAGAAGAGAGAGGAAGAGAGAGUAGUGAGAUGAGGAAAGAGAGGAGAAGAGAGUAUUGAGAGGAAGAGAGAGAAGAGGAGAGAAAGGAGUAGAGGAGAAGAGAUUAGUGAGAGGAGGAGAGAGACAGGAGAAGAGAAGAGAUGCAGAGAGAGAGGAGAGGAGAAGAGAGUAGUGAGAGGAGAAGAGAGAGAGGAGAGGAGAGAGAGGAGGAGAGGAGAAUAGAUUAGUGAGAGGAGGAGAGAGGAGAAGAGAAGAGAGGCGGAGAGAAAGGAGGAGAGGAGAAAAGAGGAGAAGAGGAUAAGAGAGUAGUGAGAGGAGAAGAGAGAGGAGGAGAGCGGAGAAGAGAGUAGCGGGAGGAGAAGAGCAUAGUGAGAGGAGAAGAGAGUAGUGAGAGAAGAAGAGAAAGGAGGAGAGAGUAGCGAGAGGAGAGAGGAGGAGAGAGUUGUGAUUGGAGAAGAGAUGAGGUGAGAGAAUAAUGAGAGGAGAAGAGAGUAGAGAGAGGAGAAUAGAGAGUAGUGAGAGGAGGAGAGAGUAGUGAAAGGAGAAGAGAGAGUGGUGAGAGNNNNNNNNNGUAGUGAGAGGAGGAGAGAGUAGUGAGAGGAGAAGAGAGUAGUGAGAGGAGAAGAGAGUAGUGAGAGGAGAAGAGAGUAGUGAGAGGAGAAGAGAGUAGUGAGAGGAGAAGAGAGUAGUGAGAGGAGGAGAGAGUAGUGAGAGGAGAAGAGAGUAGUGAGAGGAGAAGAGAGUAGUGAGAGGAGAAGAGAGUAGUGAGAGGAGGAGAGAGUAGUGAGAGGAGGAGAGAGUAUUAGACCUAAGCGCUUCACCAUUUUUGCACGACCUUGUUUCUUUUUCUUUGUAUCGUCGGGGGGAAAGGAGAGGGUGGAAGGUUUGACGUUUGACUGAUGUGCCAAAUUCCUGAUUCCACCCAGCAGCUUCCCAGCUGAAACGGCGAACUUUAAUCCGACAUGCUCUGACAUCAAAACUCAGACAUGUAAGAUAGGGAAAGAAAGUUGUUGGGGAGGAAGGGGGUGGAGGGGGAACAUUUCUCAAAUCUCCAAAAAGAUUUCGACCAAAAUUGAGAGUGUAUAGGCCUAGUGGGAUUAAGUACAAACCAGGAAUUGGUUUUCAAUUAUGUAGGAGCGAGUUUGAAACGUCUUUCUCACAAUAAUGCUCACUGUCAGACAACGACCAAUGUUUAUGUUAGCUCAGGUUUCCCUCUCUUGAAGAAAAAGGACCCCAAUUCAUCUUCCAAAUGUAAUGGCGUGUCUAGUCCAGACGGACUAUAAAUCAUUCCCCAUGACAGUCAUUGUGGUAUGACCAAACUCAUUGAGGUAAACAAGUGUUGGGCCUGUGUUAAGGCAAGCAAGGCACGAUUGGACUCUGGAAGAUGUGGAAAACAAAUGGUCUCGCUGAAAGAAUGUUUUCACUGCCUUUGAAAAGCCGAGGAGAACUCUAGAGCACGUUAAGAUUUUAUUCUCUACGUUAGUGAUCAGACGGCAUCUCAUUGAUCAUACGUCGGCUACGGCGCCGUACUCUUUCUCUCUCUGUCUUAGCAUAUGAAUUUCCUCUCUGCACGAAGGCAAAAGUCCCCAAACGGGGGGUGGGAUUGGAUGUUUUUCUCCUUUCUGAUGUGUUCUUGUUCUCUGUGAAUUCCUGCCUGUGAUUAGCAGGAAGAGUAAAGCUGGAGCUCUUGUGUUUUUCAUUGCUACCUCCCUCCGCAUUCAAGAAGUAUUCAAGAAGCCUUAUGCUUAGCAGAGAGGGUGAUUACGGAUAAUUACUCCAUUUGAACGAAACACCUCCUCCGUCUCCUUCACCUUCCCUCAUUCUCCCCCCAUCCCUCUAUUUCUGCCCCCUCGCCUCCUCAUUCACAAUUGGAGGUGGGAAGAAGGCUGUCAUCUUUCCAAACCCUAAUCUGACACUCACCUUUGGCUGACGCCUCAGUCCUCCAUUUCUGACACACUGCCAAGCUGUUGACGCACCGCCACAGUGCGAGUACAGCACACAGCAAGCUGCCCUGCCGGUGCCCAGACACUCCCCACAACAACACUGCACAGGAAUGUUUUCUUGCAAACUGCUUCUCUGUUUCUUCUGCGGAAGAUAUAUAAUCAUUCAGUAAAGUGCCUCUUCUUCAUUCCUGAAUUCUUAAAUAACUGUGUGUCUGUGUAUGUGUGACACAGAGAGAGAGAGAGAGAGAGAGAGAGAGAGAGGAAGAGAGAGGAGGAGAGAAGAGAAGAGAGAGAGCUA